rnacentral:rRNA from 1 species
UCUGGUGAUUCUAGCGAAGGUGUCCCACCCGAUCCCAUUCCGAACUCGGACGUUAAACCCUUUAGCGCUGAUUCUUUAUUUGCCCUUGCUCCUUUGCAAGGG